AGUCACAAAAUAACUUCCUUCAGUAGCCUAUUUUAAAGAGAAUUGUUUCUCAGUAUCUGAAAAACUUAUAAGGUUACAUGUUUAUUUUUCUUACACAAACAUUAUUUAAGUUCCAAAAUAACCUUCACCAGUAACACUGAACUUGUUAAGAUGUUGAACAAUCUUGAACUUCAAAACAUGGAACAAUUCCACCAGUCAGGAAGAUAUCCCAUUAUGUCUGAAUGUUGAGAACAAGUUCUACAGUAAGUUCCAUCACUGCAAUCGCUAUCUGAAGUGCAAUCUCGAUAACAAGUAAUAUCAUUACCAAAUGAAAGAGGUAAUUUUCUCUUCAUCUUUGCAACAUUAAUUGAUAAGUCUCUUAACGCCAUCACUUUAGGACCCCAACACAGAUUAACUGCACAUAAAUUAAUUGUAAUAAUAAUUAGAAUAAUUAAUAUACACAAUUAUUACAAAGAGAAAAGAGUAGUCAUAAAUUAAUUGUAAUAAUAAUUAGAAUAAUUAAUAUACACAAUUAUUACAAAGAGAAAAGAGUAGUAAAAGUAAGUUUUAGAACCUGAAAUUGCAAUAAGAGAGCAAUGAAGAGAAAAGCUUGCUUAAGUGAGACCAUUUUACUUGAUUUUGUUUAAUA
rnacentral:lncRNA from 1 species